CCUCCGAUAGCUCAGUUGGUAGAGCGCAAGACUGUAACUGGAAACCUGCUGUCAUCUUGAGGCCGCUAGUUCGAUCCUGGCUCGGAGGA
rnacentral:tRNA from 1 species